UUCUGGACUUGCAGUCCAGUCCAAGAUCAGUCAAAUGCCAGGCUUCUGAAGAAACCCAUGUGGGAGUAGAGGAGACAAGAAGGACUUGGCUACUGUGGAGUCACAUGGGGAUGCUGCUGGCUGAUAUUGAAAAGGUACUUACAUGGGCCCCACUUCUGUACUCUUCCAGCACCCCAGUGAGACUGGCGUCUGCUUCUACUCUAAAGCUGAAGACCCUAUACUGCCUUCAUGGCCUAGGAUCCCUGGAUUUCCCAGUGCUGAGCCCAGUUACCUG